GUUCAUGCGUCAGCUACACAUGCAGUCGAGCGCCCCGCAAGGGGAGCGGCAGACGGGUGAGUAACGCGUGGGAACGUACCAUUUGCUACGGAAUAACUCAGGGAAACUUGUGCUAAUACCGUAUGAGCCCUUCGGGGGAAAGAUUUAUCGGCAAAUGAUCGGCCCGCGUUGGAUUAGCUAGUUGGUGGGGUAAAGGCCUACCAAGGCGACGAUCCAUAGCUGGUCUGAGAGGAUGAUCAGCCACACUGGGACUGAGACACGGCCCAGACUCCUACGGGAGGCAGCAGUGGGGAAUAUUGGACAAUGGGCGCAAGCCUGAUCCAGCCAUGCCGCGUGAGUGAUGAAGGCCCUAGGGUUGUAAAGCUCUUUCACCGGUGAAGAUAAUGACGGUAACCGGAGAAGAAGCCCCGGCUAACUUCGUGCCAGCAGCCGCGGUAAUACGAAGGGGGCUAGCGUUGUUCGGAUUUACUGGGCGUAAAGCGCACGUAGGCGGGCUAAUAAGUCAGGGGUGAAAUCCCGGGGCUCAACCCCGGAACUGCCUUUGAUACUGUUAGUCUUGAGUAUGGUAGAGGUGAGUGGAAUUCCGAGUGUAGAGGUGAAAUUCGUAGAUAUUCGGAGGAACACCAGUGGCGAAGGCGGCUCACUGGACCAUUACUGACGCUGAGGUGCGAAAGCGUGGGGAGCAAACGCGCCCCGCAAG
rnacentral:rRNA from 1 species